rnacentral:rRNA from 1 species
GACAGAGGGUGCUAGCGUUGUUCGGAAUUACUGGGCGUAAAGGGCGCGUAGGCGGUCUGCUAAGUUCGGUGUGAAAUCCCCUGGCUCAACUGGGGAACUGCGCUGGAAACUGGCAGACUCGAGUACCGGAGAGGAGAGUGGAAUUCCUGGUGUAGCGGUGAAAUGCGUAGAUAUCAGGAGGAACACCCGUGGCGAAGGCGGUUCUCUGGGACGGUACUGACGCUGGAGACGCGAAAGCGUGGGGAGCGAACAGG